rnacentral:rRNA from 1 species
GAUGAACGCUAGCGGGAGGCCUAACCCAUGCAAGCCGAGCGGUAGAAUGUUUUCGGAGACUUGAGAGCGGCGUACGGGUGAGGAACACGUGUGCAACCUGCCUUUAUCUGGGAGAUAGCCUUUCGAAAGGUAGAAUAAUAUCCCCUAGUAUAUUGCGUGGCAUCACUUAAUAUGGAAAGAUCCGGCGGACAGUGAUGGGCACGCGCAAGAUUAGAUAGUUGGUGAGGUAACGGCUCACCAAGUCUACGAUCUUGAGGGGGCCUGAGAGGGUGAUCCCCCACACUGGUACUGAGACACGGACCAGACUCCUACGGGAGGCAGCAGUGAGGAAUAUUGGACAAUGGGUGCAAGCCUGAUCCAGCCAUCCCGCGUGAAGGAUUAAGGUCCUAUGGAUUGUAAACUUCUUUUAUACAGGGAUAAACCUCUCCUCGUGAGGAGAGCUGAAGGUACUGUAUGAAUAAGCACCGGCUAACUCCGUGCCAGCCGCCGCAGUAA